GAUGAACGCUGGCGGCGUGCUUAACACAUGCAAGUCGAACGAAACACCUUAUUUGAUUUUCUUCGGAACUGAAGAUUUGGUGAUUGAGUGGCGGACGGGUGAGUAACGCGUGGGUAACCUGCCCUGUACAGGGGGAUAACAGUCAGAAAUUACUGCUAAUACCGCAUAAGACCACAGCACCGCAUGGUGCAGGGGUAAAAACUCCGGUGGUACAGGAUGGAACCGCGUCUGAUUCGCUGGUUGGUGAGGUAACGGCUCACCAAGGCGACGAUCAGUAGCCGGGUUGAGAGAGUGAACGGCCACAUUGGGACUGAGACACGGCCCAAACUCCUACGGGAGGCAGCAGUGGGGAAUAUUGCACAAUGGGGGAAACCCUGAUGCAGCGACGCCGCGUGAGUGAAGAAGUAUUUCGGUAUGUAAAGCUCUAUCAGCAGGGAAGAAAAUGACGGUACCUGACUAAGAAGCCCCGGCUAACUACGUG
rnacentral:rRNA from 1 species